GUGGGCACUGGAGGAUAGGUGGGGUCUGGGUACAGGAUAACCCUUAGCCAGAUACAAGUGGGCACUGGAGGAUAGGUGGGGUCUGGGUACAGGAUAACCCUUAGCCAGAUACAAGUGGGCACUGGAGGAUAGGUGGGGUCUGGGUACAGGAUAACCCUUAGCCAGAUACAAGUGGGCACUGGAGGAUAGGUGGGGUCUGGGUACAGGAUAACCCUUAGCCAGAUACAAGUGGGCACUGGAGGAUAGGUGUUGUCUGGGUACAGGAUAACCCUUAGCCAGAUUCAAG